rnacentral:rRNA from 1 species
UCGAGGAUCUUCGUCAAUGGGCGCAAGCCUGAACGAGCGACGCCGCGUGUGCGAUGAAGGCCUUCGGGUUGUAAAGCACUGUCGAGGGGGAGAAAGCCGGGAAACCGGUUGAUCGAUCCCUGGAGGAAGCACGGGCUAAGUUCGUGCCAGCAGCCGCGGUAAGACGAACCGUGCGAACGUUGUUCGGAAUCACUGGGCUUAAAGGGCGCGUAGGCGGCUCCGCCAGUCGGGGGUGAAAUCCCACCGCUUAACGGUGGAAGGGCCUCCGAUACUGCGGGGCUGGAGGGAGGUAGGGGCAGCGGGAACUUCGGGUGGAGCGGUGAAAUGCGUUGAUAUCCGAAGGAACGCCGGUGGCGAAAGCGCGCUGCUGGACCUCUUCUGACGCUGAGGCGCGAAAGCCAGGGGAGCAAACGG